UAGACGGGAGCGCACCGGGAUUAAUGUGCCGGGGAAGCAGGAGGGACGAGGAACCUUUCCAGAAGGCACGGCGAGAUCCACGCCGUGCCAGGGAGCCACACUGGCUGUGUGGGCAGGCGGCACCAUCGGGACGGGCCACUCUGUCCACCCUGGUGCCAGAGAGCGCCUCGGCUCGAUGCUACAAGCCAGGCAAGAUGUGACUCACGCAGUUUGCUUGCAAAGAGGGAAGGACCAUCUGGUAGUCAUGAGCAGAUGACAAAUUCACUGCAUUGCGUCUUGUCGCUACUUCCAAAUUUGUGACCAUCCCCAAGCCACUGACCACAUGUCAUGAGAUGUGUCCCAUGGGAUUUCCUUGGAGAUAAAUUGCAGAUCAAGACAUUGGAGUGCUGCUGGACUGCAGGUCUAUUAAAAAUCAGACAAAGAGUGAAAACAAGGAGAAAGCAAUAAUACAGAAAAAAAAAAAAUAAAAUGUGGUCCUGGGUAAAAACCAGAAACCAAAAUUUCUUUUGGUUAGAGAGCUUACUGACAAGUACAGCCAUCAUUUCCCAACAAGGAAAUAAACUUGUUGAUUGUUCCCACUGGGCCAGGAAGAAAAACAAAGCAGGAUAAAUAAACAGGGUCACCCCAAAUAAAUAUUUGUCUC